rnacentral:rRNA from 1 species
GCUAUAGCCGGGCCAGGAGCCGCGGUAAUACGUGGGGGGGAAGCGUUGUCCGGAGUUAUUGGGCGUAAAGAGCGUGUAGGCGGCCAAGCAGGUCCGCUGUGAAAACUCGAGGCUCAACCUCGAGACGUCGGUGGAAACCGUUUGGCUAGAGUCCGGAAGAGGAGAGUGGAAUUCCCGGUGUAGCGGUGAAAUGCGCAGAUAUCGGGAAGAACACCCGUGGCGAAGGCGGCUCUCUGGGACGGUACUGACGCUGAGACGCGAAAGCGUGGGGAGCGAACAGGAUUAGAUACCCUGGUAGUC